UCUGCCCACCGCAACUUUCGGUUGAAUGACAUUUAGGUCACUAAGAUUAAGAACAUUUUCAGUAUUUUGUUCAGUAUUUUGCCAUUAAUUGAUUACUAAAUUUGGACAACACAUGGUAGGCAUCAGGUAAAAAAAAGUUGGAACCAAGGAAAGUGUAUUUCAGACUACAGAAGUGAGGGGUCCUCCUACAACACCGAAGAUAGAAGAAGAGGAGGAUUAGAAGAAGGUGGAAGAACUUAAUCAUGAUCUCACAGAAGUCACAGUAACUGCAGUUGGAUUAGUGACUCUGCCUGGAACAUGGAUGCGUUUGAGGGUCUCCACAGUGUCCAGCUGCCCUCCUCUCCAACCCCUGCCUCUGCCGCCAACCCGGGGUAUGAGAUCCUAGUGUCAGCCAGAUCUGGUGUCCAGGUAUAUUCCAACGCCACGUUCUAUGGUAAACCCAGUGUUCUGGAGCAGGCUCAGAGGAGAGGGAGAGCCAAACAUCACUCCCACCGAGAGGAGACGAAAGAGGAGAGGUGUGAGGUUGGAUGGUUGGUAGACCUGGAGCCAGGUCCGAGCCCCAGGGUGGAGGGGUGGAGGGCAGGG